rnacentral:snoRNA from 1 species
AUGCCAUGGUGAGAACAUCUCUUGAGCAACUCCUUAAAUCUUUCCCAAGCCUUAUACAAGCUUUCAUUUUCCAGCUGAUGAAAAAAAGUGAUCUCAUUCCACAAUUU